GGGGGCACAGCUCAGUGGUAGAGCAUCUGCUUAGCAUGCAUGAGGUCCUGGGUUCAGUCCCCAUUACCUCCA
rnacentral:tRNA from 1 species